rnacentral:rRNA from 1 species
AUACGGAGGGUGCAAGCGUUAUUCGGAAUCACUGGGCGUAAAGGACGCGUAGGCGGGUUGGCAAGUCAGAUGUGAAAUCCUACAGCUUAACUGUAGAACUGCAUUUGAAACUGCUAACCUAGAGUAUGGGAGGGGGAGAUGGAAUUAGUGGUGUAGGGGUAAAAUCCGUAGAUAUCACUAGGAAUACCGAAAGCGAAGACGAUCUCCUGGAACAUAACUGACGCUAAGGCGUGAAAGCGUGGGGAGCAAACAGGAUUAGAAACCCGAGUAGUCC